rnacentral:rRNA from 1 species
UACGUAGGUGGCAAGCGUUGUCCGGAAUUAUUGGGCGUAAAGCGCGCGCAGGCGGUCUCUUAAGUCUGAUGUGAAAGCCCCCGGCUCAACCGGGGAGGGUCAUUGGAAACUGGGAGACUUGAGUGCAGAAGAGAAGAGUGGAAUUCCACGUGUAGCGGUGAAAUGCGUAGAGAUGUGGAGGAACACCAGUGGCGAAGGCGACUCUUUGGUCUGUAACUGACGCUGAGGCGCGAAAGCGUGGGGAGCAAACAGG